rnacentral:rRNA from 1 species
AUUGAACGCUGGCGGCAUGCUUUACACAUGCAAGUCGAACGGUAACAGGUCUUUCGGGAUGCUGACGAGUGGCGAACGGGUGAGUAAUGUAUCGGAACGUGCCCAGUAGUGGGGGAUAACUACUCGAAAGAGUGGCUAAUACCGCAUGAGAUCUCUGGAUGAAAGCGGGGGACCGUAAGGCCUCGCGCUACUGGAGCGGCCGAUAUCAGAUUAGGUUGUUGGUGAGGUAACGGCUCACCAAGGCUAUGACGGGUAGGGGGUGUGAGAGCACGACCCCCCUCACUGGGACUGAGACACUGCCCAGACACCUACGGGUGGCUGCAGUCGAGAAUAUUCCCCAAUGGCCGAAAGGCUGAGGGAGCGACGCCGCGUGCAGGAAUAAGGCCUUCGGGUCGUAAACUAGCUUUGUCCGAGGAAGGAAUACAUGACGGUACUCGGAGAAUAAGAGGUU